rnacentral:rRNA from 1 species
AUGAAGAAGGCGGCAGAUGCCGGUGCGAAGUUUGCCCGUGAGAACAGUAACACCAUAAAAGAUACCGUCAAGAACCACCUGCCUGGAGGAGACGCCCCAAAGCCGACCGAGGACACCGGCGCACCGGCGCAACGCCUCCCCAUCACCAACCGCCCGCCCCCGACCCCGCCCCCGCCCCCUCACGCCGACCUUCCCAGCACAAGGCUCAGGAACUGGGUCUACACGGAGGUCGCUCCAAGUGUGGAUCUUGUUCAUGUUGGCGAGGCGGCGGCUGUCGCUGUGGCCGUGGGGGUGGCGAUCUGGUGGCUGAAUGGGGGAUUCUAG